rnacentral:rRNA from 1 species
GAUGGGGAGCGAAAUUUAGUAGCGAAGUAGCUGAUUUCACACUGUCAAGAAAAGUCUCUAUCGAGGUUAAAGGUACCCGUACCGCAAACCGACACAGGUGGGGGAGGAGAGUAUCCUAAGGCCAGCGAGAGAACUGUUGUUAAGGAACUCGGCAAAAGGACCCCGUAACUUAGGGAUAAGGGGUGCCACCAUCAGGUGGCCGCAGAGAAUAGGCCCAAGCGACUGUUUACCAAAAACAUAGGUUUCUGCUAAGUCGCAAGACGAUGUAUAGGAGCUGACGCCUGCCCGGUGCUGGAAGGUUAAGGGGAUCUGUUAGAGCAAUCGAAGCAGUGAACUUAAGCC